GUGAAUCAUCGAAUUUUUGAACGCAUAUUGCACUCUCUGGUAUUCCGGAGAGUAUGCCCGUUUGAGGGUCAUUUGAAAUCAUAUAACUACCAAGACUUCACGGAAUUUAAAAUGGGUUGUCCAUUUUUUGUGGUCGCUUAAAAUCUAAGACAAGCUCAUCCUCUUGGGUUGUGUGAUACUCUUGGUUACUUCGUGACUUAACCAGGACUCAUCGGGCGUGCUAUGCAUUACG
rnacentral:misc_RNA from 1 species